GGUGAGUACUACUUCUCAGAGCCUUCUCCGACCAGAUCGGCUGUCCUCAAACUUCAGUUUGGCUUCAUCUCUUUCAGUCUCCCGCUUGUGCAGCUUCUGAGCAAGAGUUAAGGCAGAGGAAGCAAUGAUGUGCCCCGCUCUCAGCUGCUUAAGUUUCAAGUCAGAAGAUCUCUAGUGCUCAAGGCUCUCAUCUCCCCGGCUACGUGUAUGUAGCAACAUGGAAGACCAGCGCCUUGUGAUAGACAGUUUAAUCUUACCUGCCUGCUGCUUGGCCGCAGGACUUGGUUUGGCCAAUGAGACUCUGGGAAACACGGAACAAACAGAGGCUAGAUAAGUGUUUGCACACUGGGGCUUGUCCUCUUGGAACUGUCUCUCAGAAGCUUGCUGCCAUGCUCUAAAGAAGCUCCGGUGGUUCACUGGAUGAUGAGAAGCCGCAUGGAGAGAUACCCAAAGGACGAGAGGCCAUCUUGAGAGUUCCAGCCCCCGCAGAGCUCCCACCUUAAUGCGGCCACACAAGUGACAGCAGCCACUCCACAAGGAACCACAAAAUCCGGAAAAAGAAUACCUUGUUGUAAGUCACUAAGUUUGGGUGGCUUGUGAUACUGCAAUAGAGAAUUAAAGCAGACCUCCUUAGACGGAUUAAAAUGGGGGACCCUGGCUGUUGUUGGGGUCCUCUGGGUAGAGUCUCUUAGAGAGAUGUCUUAGGACCCUCUGCGCAAAUUUCCUUUUCCCUCUUCCUUUACUUCGCCUGCAGUUAUAGGCUCCUAGAGGGCAGUCUGUCUCAGGGCUGCCGAUGGCAGCAGAGGGUGAUUACUGAUGGCCCUCCCACUCCCUACCGACCUCCUUUCUAAGUU
rnacentral:lncRNA from 13 species